GAGGGGGUUGCAAUCUCAGGGGAUGUUGUCUAUUUGUUAGUUCAGAUGUUGCUAUUGGAUCAAAGUCUAGGAAAACUCCCAUGUUCAAACAAAGCAAAAGCACUUGAGAUUCAAAGUCGUAAGAAGAAGAUGUUGCCAUAAGAGUUUGAUUCUAGUUACCUUAAUAUUUGUCUUUUGGAAAGAGAGUCUUUACGCAAGGGCACAGACAUGCUUAAUAA
rnacentral:lncRNA from 1 species